UUAUACCUAAAUGCUGCAUAACAUUGGAGGCAUGUAAUAUUUCAUGUGUCCAUUACCUCUAUGUUUGGAUAAAGUUGUUGUUUACUAUUACAACAAUGCUACAAUGAAGAGGCUUACAUUGUCUGUCUCCUUGGGCACAUGUACGGAUUUCUCUGGAGCUGAAGUUCUUGAACUAAGGUCCAUGAACUCUAGAGGGUUCCCAAGGUCCUUUCAGGGGACUCUCAGGGUCAAACUCUGUUCAUAAUACUAAGACAUUACUUGCCCUUGUUUACUCUUGCUCUCUCGUGAGCAUACGAUAACACUAUGCAUUUUAAAGAAAAUAACUAUAUUUUCCAAAAAAAAAAAAAAUUGUGAGAAGAGUAGUAUUUAGAUUUUU